UAGUUACGAUAGCGCGCCGUAAGAAGUAAAAGACUUGUGGUGGAACGAGUUCAAGCGGAAAUUCAGCUGGGAUGAAUCGCAAGACAGUGAAAUUAGAAGAAUAUUUAAGAAAAAAGCUGGUGAUCACAUCCGCAAUGUGAUGAAUAAAGCAAAGACAAAAAAGGUGAAGCCACACUUUAUUACCGGUGAAGAUUGGACCGAAAUGAACAGAACUUGGGAAGGGGAAAAAAUGAAGCAAAGGAGUGAACAAAAUGCCAAGAAUCGAGCUUCCAGUUCUAGGGAAGGGUCUUCUACGUCCGCAACAUAUGUUGGGGGUUCUAUUAACAUUGGGGAGCAUAGAAAGAGAUUGGUAAGUUUGUUAAACAUGUAAGUUCAUUUAAUUCAAUUACUCAUUUAUGUUUCAAUUUUGUAGGCACAUGAUUUGGGGACCGAACCGACGUAUGCAGCUACAUUCGAACGCGUUUUUCAAAAGAAAGAUAAGACGUGGGUUGGCGACCGAGCGAAAUCUGUUAGGG